AGUUUAGCUAUUGGAUGGGAGGACACAUCCAAAAGGGUGAAAUUACGGACGCUAACAUGGCAGACUUAGAAAAAUGUUAUGGAGAAGUUGAAGAGAAGUAUGAUGUGGGACCUGAAANAGCA